rnacentral:rRNA from 1 species
GACGAACGCUGGCGGCGUGCUUAACACAUGCAAGUCGAGCGGUAAGGCCCUUUCGGGGGCACACGAGCGGCGAACGGGUGAGUAACACGUGGGUGACCUGCCCUCAGCUCUGGGAUAAGCCUGGGAAACUGGGUCUAAUACUGGAUAUGACUCCACGGUGCAUGUCGUGGGGUGGAAAGCCUUGUGCGGCUGAGGAUGGGCCCGCGGCCUAUCAGCUUGUUGGUGGGGUGAUGGCCUACCAAGGCGACGACGGGUAGCCGGCCUGAGAGGGCGACCGGCCACACUGGGACUGAGACACGGCCCAGACUCCUACGGGAGGCAGCAGUGGGGAAUCUUGCGCAAUGGGCGAAAGCCUGACGCAGCGACGCCGCGUGAGGGAUGACGGCCUGG